rnacentral:rRNA from 1 species
AUACGGAGGGGGUUAGCGUUGUUCGGAAUUACUGGGCGUAAAGCGCACGUAGGCGGACUGGAAAGUUGGGGGUGAAAUCCCGGGGCUCAACCCCGGAACUGCCUCCAAAACUUCCAAUCUAGAGAUCGAGAGAGGUGAGUGGAAUUCCAAGUGUAGAGGUGAAAUUCGUAGAUAUUUGGAGGAACACCAGUGGCGAAGGCGGCUCACUGGCUCGAUACUGACGCUGAGGUGCGAAAGCGUGGGGAGCAAACAGGAUUAGAAACCCUGGUAGUCC